rnacentral:rRNA from 1 species
GACGAACGCUGGCGGCGUGCUUAACACAUGCAAGUCGAACGGAAAGGCCCUGCUUUUGUGGGGUGCUCGAGUGGCGAACGGGUGAGUAACACGUGAGUAACCUGCCCUUGACUUUGGGAUAACUUCAGGAAACUGGGGCUAAUACUGGAUAGGAGCUCCUGCUGCAUGGUGGGGGUUGGAAAGUUUCGGCGGUUGGGGAUGGACUCGCGGCUUAUCAGCUUGUUGGUGGGGUAGUGGCUUACCAAGGCUUUGACGGGUAGCCGGCCUGAGAGGGUGACCGGCCACAUUGGGACUGAGAUACGGCCCAGACUCCUACGGGAGGCAGCAGUGGGGAAUAUUGCACAAUGGGCGGAAGCCUGAUGCAGCAACGCCGCGUGCGGGAUGACGGCCUUCGGGUUGUAAACCGCUUUCGCCUGUGACGAAGCGUGAGUGACGGUAAUGGGUAAAGAAGCACCGGCUAACUACG